AGUGUAGAUGAGGCUUUAGUGCCUUUCAAGUCAACACUUGAGUAACGGGAAACAAUUUUAAAUUCCUUUUUUUUUUUCUUCUGAAGCUCAUAUCUGGAUUAAGGACUCAAGACGAUGUGUAUUUGCUUCUAUGUAGUUAUCGGUCUGAUUAUCCUGCUCGUCAUAGUGGUUGCAUCUAUGAACUUAACCCGCAGAUGAGCCGAACCCUAGGAAUGGAGUUCAAGUUCGAAUAAUCCAGAUAGCCAGCAAGUUUUUGGUGUUUUAUUACUGUAAACAUUUGCAUACAAGACUGCUCUCCCCGCUCCACGCUGGUUACUAUAAUUAACUGAAUAUUUAUUACUGCGGUAGAUAAAAUGUUAUGCGGCUAUUAUUUUAGUUUUACGGCCAACCAAGAAGCCAACAAGCCAACAAGCCAACAGGCAAACUCGGCUAACUGAGCUUAAGCCUCAGACGGAACAUGAACAUGGCAGGCCACCAAAGUGGCGGCUCGUACAUGAAUAUGCAAUCCGAGCCAAAAUGCAGUCGGCGCCCCUUCGGUUUGGCCAACCACGUGGGCCACUCUACCUGAACCACCUUUUAGCCAUCAAGCCAAGCCACCUACACGGAUAAAUCCAGCCAAGAUACACCUAAACCAUUGAACAGUCGGCGCCAAUUAAGUCCACGAAAAGAUCGGAUGGAGGAUUUCAGAGAUGAUGUUUUUAGGAAAGGACAUACGAAUACAUAUGAAAUAAAAAAGUAAUUUCAUACUUAAGUAGAAGACUGGCGUUCUUAAAACUUGAUCAAGGGACUUGCAGUUGUUGAUUUUUCUUGUUAUACCCAUCCAAAAAUGCUUAUCUUUGUUAAAAUCUACAACUAAUAAUAUAAUAAACAAUAAAAGCUACAAUAUGGACAAGUUGGCAACACG
rnacentral:lncRNA from 1 species